GACGAACGCUGGCGGCGUGCUUAACACAUGCAAGUCGAACGGAAAGGCCCUGCUUUUGUGGGGUGCUCGAGUGGCGAACGGGUGAGUAACACGUGAGUAACCUGCCCUUGACUUUGGGAUAACUUCAGGAAACUGGGGCUAAUACCGGAUAGGAGCUCCUGCUGCAUGGUGGGGGUUGGAAAGUUUCGGCGGUUGGGGAUGGACUCGCGGCUUAUCAGCUUGUUGGUGGGGUAGUGGCUUACCAAGGCUUUGACGGGUAGCCGGCCUGAGAGGGUGACCGGCCACAAUAGGACUGAGAUACGGCCCAGACUCCUACGGGAGGCAGCAGGGGGGAAUAUUGCACAAUGGGCGGAAGCCUGAUGCAGCAACGCCGCGUGCGGGAUGACGGCCUUCGGGUUGUAAACCGCUUUCGCCUGUGACGAAGCGUGAGUGACGGUAAUGGGUAAAGAAGCACCGGCUAACUACGUG
rnacentral:rRNA from 1 species